UCUUUAGUUAGACUGUUUAACAAUACAUACGGAUUUUUACAUAUACCUAGCACUUCCACUCCCAAAGUACACAUACCCAUACAUACACACAAACACCCCAACCCAUGAUAGGCAUAUGCAAAUCCCACAAACACGUACAUAGAGUGCGCAAGCUCACACACUCCCUCGGGAGGCAGAAACUCUGAGUCCAGAUGUGCCCCAGCCUCAGGGAUGCUGAGGAUCUGGCCGCAGAGAGAACGUGCAGACCUCAGGCCACGGCUGGCUCUCAGCCAGCAGGAGGGGCGGGCAGUCUGCCAGCUCUGGAACCAGGAAGUGACAUUCCUAUUCAUCUGAGCCUUCCAGUAAACACCCAACCUGCGUGUCCGGAGACCCUUAUGAAGCGCAGGCCUUGGAGGGGAGGCCGGCUGUUCCUUGGCUGGAGGAGUGCGCGGCAGAGGGCCGCAGCCCACACAACACACUAAACCCACUUGGGAGGCCGAGGCCGCCACAACAUGGGAAUUAAGGAUCCUUCUGCGGACUCCCUCUUACACUCCUGAUGUUGUGAGAGCCCUCCUGCUCUCUUUAUCUCAUGGAGCAGCCAACGUUGGGCUGUGCCCCUGGAAAGCCUAAGAGCUCGCGGCCACCUGCCUGGAUGGCCAGAAGAACUUCUCCUGAGUCCUGAACUCCCAGCACCAUUUGUAGCACCAGUGAGAGCGGGCGCGUUCUCCCACCUCUCAGCCCUCGUCGCCUCACCCUGGUGAGCACUGACUUCACCCACACCUCUUUACCCCGCCAGCUUACCCUCACACCACGCUUCACCCCAAACACUGGCCUUCAAGGGUGGCCUUGACUUCACGUGGGCUCUCAUUUCUGCCAGGAUUCCCUCGGGUCAGCUAUCUGAGCAGGCAUCUUGGCUCAUUGCUCUGCUUCCUGGGUGGGUCCCCUGUACUGUCCCAGGGUAGAAGGAGGCAUCAUGGCUGCCCUGCCCAUCUGGUCCUAACCACACCUGGUGAUGUCAAAACCCCUUGUCAUCCAGCCAUGGAAAACCCUCAGCCCCAACAUCCUUCAUCCCAAUUCCUUUUCCAGGGCUCUUAAACUACAUGAUUUACUUGCCUGCAGGUAAAGGCCGGGGCCCUGCUUCUCUCCCAGCCCCAAUCCUACUCAAUCAUCUAGCUAUCUCCCCAGGAAGCUUUCUGUUUUCUCUCCCAAGCCAAGCUGGGUGAAGGGCCUUUCCACUGAGCUUACCUCUACGCUUGCCCACUGUUUUGGAAAGAUCUGCCUCUGCCUCCCCCAUGCAAUCAAGUUCCAGGAGGGCUGGGGCCGCAUGCUGGUCAUCUCUGUAUCGUCAGCACUUAGCACUGUGUCCAAGACAUAGUAAGCAUGCAGUAAAUGUUGAAGAAAGAAAGGAAGGAAGGAAGAGAAGAAAGAAUGACAGCCAAAGGAAGAAGUCAAUAAUGAGAACAGGCUGCAUCUGAUGCCGUAGAAGAAUGCCCAAUGGCCCCGAGCAGUGAAGCUAAACCCCAUCCUUCUCCACAUUUAACCUCCCAACUUCUCCCUCCCUGUUAUUAAUAUAAAAAGAAUGAGUUUAUAGAGACUCAUUAAAAUCAUUGGCUAAAUAACCAUGAGAGUUCCUGGAGCCCUGGGCCAUCCACAAGCCCUAUAAAGAACUCUCUACUGACAGAAGGGCAUAAAACCAUCACCAAACACAAAUACUGCUCUUUUUCCUGGUCGCAAAUACACAGUCCAUUCAAAGGUCAAGGUCAGUCACCUCUUGUGUACGUGAGCCCUCCACAGCCAAUAAACAUUUCCACAGACAGCCAAGGAGUGGCGAGGAAAGGAACCAGAAGGCUCCUGGGAAUUCUCCGCUGGGCAUAAUCACUAAAGGUGUCUCCGCAAAUGGAGAGGAGCAGGGGUCCAGGAAGGUGAACCGCCAAACAAAACAGCCAGAUAAUCCAGAAAGUAUCCACGUGUACACACACACCCUCAGCCGUUUAACUUUCCUAAUAAUGUUUUGCUCGGAUUAAUAAUUAAAUGGCCUUGUGCACGUUGACGAGACGCCAACGGCUCAGCGAGGAGAGGGGACAGAGGAGCAUGUCAGCAAGGUCAGCGUGGAAUGGAACUCAGCCAGCCUGCCCUGCAGAUAAUCUAGACUUGCUUCCGUUCACUCCUUCUCUCUUUGCUGCUUUCGUUCAUCUCAGAAUUUUAGAGAUGAAUCCAUCUCUAAAAAGUUUGACCCCGAAGCCUGAGCCCGGCUUUGUUGGUUGUGUCUGGAGGACAACUCCUCUUGGCCUUGGAAGCUCAUCCACCCGCAGGUGUCCCCUGCCUUCAGCCGAGCACGCCCCCCCGCCCCGCCCCUGCCCAGGUACCAUGACAGCCCCUCUGACAGGGAGUGUGUCCUCCCCAGGAUUCUCUCUGGGUCAGGAAUUUUCUUCCUGAUGGUGGAAAUCAGGUGGGCAUUACCUUCCAGGCUGGUAGAAAAAUGAGCAGGAAAAGAUAAUCUAUGCUAGCCUGCUUUACAAAAUACUGUCAAAUGCUCAUUGUGUCUCUGGAGAGAAAGAGACUGACCUUAACAAGGGUCUGAGGGGAGCUCCACUGGGGGGGAGGGGCAAGGAAGGGGGGGGAGGGGCGUGAGAAGGAAGAAAGCACAGCCCACAGCAUAGAGUUGUCCUCAGUCAGAGGAGGCAGAUGCUUCCAGAAGAGCAGAAUACCCCCCAACCCCCCACAGCCACCUGCCAGGCGUGGAAGCAGGUGCCCUCCUGAGCCCGCCUCCCCCCACUCCCCUCCCCUUCUUCUCCCUCCCUCCUUUCCUUCCAUCCACUUUUAGUGACCAUCGCUGUGUCAGGUCCUGUGCAGGUGGUGCGUGGUGGGAAUAUGAAGAUAAUAAAAGCGUUCUCAACCUCAA